rnacentral:rRNA from 1 species
AAGUGGAGCAAUCCAUGAGUAAAGUGGCGACCGGGUGAGUAACACGUGACUAACCUACCUUUUAGUGGGGGAUAACCUCGGGAAACCGAGGCUAAUACCGCAUAACAUCGCAAGAUCAAAGCAGCAAUGCGCUGGAAGAGGGGGUCGCGGCUGAUUAGCUAGUUGGCGGGGUAACGGCCCACCAAGGCGAAGAUCGGUAUCCGGCCUGAGAGGGCGCACGGACACACUGGAACUGAGACACGGACCAGACUCCUACGGGAGGCAGCAGUAAGGAAUAUUGGUCAAUGGGCGCAAGCCUGAACCAGCCAUGCCGCGUGCAGGAAGACGGCCCUACGGG